rnacentral:tRNA from 1 species
GGCAGGUAGCUCAGUUGGUAGAGCAACGGACUGAAAAUCCGUGUGUCGGCGGUUCAAAUCCGCCCCUGCC